UACAGAGGGUGCGAGCGUUUAAUCGGAAUUACUGGGCGUAAAGCGUGCGUAGGCGGUUUGUUAAGUCCGCUGUGAAAGCCCUGGGCUCAACCUGGGAAUUGCAGUGGAUACUGGCAAGCUAGAGUGCGGUAGAGGAUGGUGGAAUUCCCGGUGUAGCGGUGAAAUGCGUAGAGAUCCGGAAGAACACCGGUGGCGAAGGCGGUCUGCUGGGGUAAUGCUGACACUGAUGCGCGACAGCGUGGGGAGCAAACAGG
rnacentral:rRNA from 1 species